GUGAAUCAUCGAAUUUUUGAACGCAAAUUGCGCUUCCUGGCAUCCCGGGAAGGAUGCCUGUUUGAGGGUCAGUAUUAACAAAAAAUCGGUUUGGUUGCAAAUUGUGACGUUUCCGGUGUUUGGGCUAUCUUAACUUUUUUGGUUAAGGGGCUUAAAAUUGACCUUUAUUGCGCAUUCUUAGACGUACAUAAAUUUUUUUUUAUUCGUCGAUUUCUAAUGCCUAUAUCUUAUUAGAGGCGC
rnacentral:misc_RNA from 1 species